rnacentral:piRNA from 1 species
UGGAUGUCAAAAGCUGAAACUUAACCUGC